GGGGAAUUUUGGACAAUGGGCGAAAGCCUGAUCCAGCAAUGCCGCGUGCAGGAUGAAGGCCUUCGGGUUGUAAACUGCUUUUGUACGGAACGAAAAGGCUCUGGCUAAUACCUGGGGCACAUGACGGUACCGUAAGAAUAAGCACCGGCUAACUACGUGCCAGCAGCCGCGGUAAUACGUAGGGUGCGAGCGUUAAUCGGAAUUACUGGGCGUAAAGCGUGCGCAGGCGGUUUUGUAAGACAGAGGUGAAAUCCCCGGGCUCAACCUGGGAACUGCCUUUGUGACUGCAAAGCUGGAGUGCGGCAGAGGGGGAUGGAAUUCCGCGUGUAGCAGUGAAAUGCGUAGAUAUGCGGAGGAACACCGAUGGCGAAGGCAAUCCCCUGGGCCUGCACUGACGCUCAUGCACGAAAGCGUGGGGAGCAAAC
rnacentral:rRNA from 1 species